UGGAAAAUGAAUGGAUGAUUGAUUCAGCUGCGGGCGCCAUCUCCUGGCGAGACGCGGGAAUUCAUUCAGCGCGCGACUCUCACUGUGCAUUAUGGGUAUUCUCAAGCUGUUGAGUUUGCAUCGGCUGUACACUUGUUAUUGCGGUGCAUUGUGGGAUUGAAUGAGUGCACUCAACAUCGUUCACUAUGGUUUCGGACACCACUACAAAUGGCUGUCCCCUCAAAUAGUGCCCUAUUUAAGGAUAUAGGGGGCGAUUUCGGACACAGCCCUUGUCAUGCUCAAAUCAGUGGGCGGGGCUACUGAACUUUCGGGUUUGUGAUGUUUUUGACCAAGCUCGUUGUAGUCCCUACCAGCCAUUUGUUGUAAUCCUUAAAAAGCGAUUUCUGUUAAAAAAAAAAAAAAAAAAAAAAAAAAAUCUCCCUUUGCAUUGAACUUGUGUUAUUUAUGCUCAAACAGCAACAUUACACAGUAACUAAAUCAUACUCAAAGACCCCUUUAAAAGCUAAACAUUUUUUUUUAUUUGUUUGUUAUUAUUCUAUUGUUGAGGGGCAAAAGUUGAAUGGAAAGGAAGUAUUACUUUAUGUAUUAAAGUUCAAUAACAUAGUUGCAUGGUUAUGAACAUAUUUGUCAAGGUGUCCGUCUGCCUCCCGCACACACUGUCCUCUUUUUUGAAAACUAAAAUAUGGUUACCCUAGUUGAAGCUGCAAACUAUUCUUCAGUAAAAUUUUCGCCAGUUUUUUUUUUUUUUUUUUUUUUUUUUUUUUUUUUUGACCCUGACUCCGGGUCUUCAUUAAUCAUUUCUGGUCAUUGGGUCUUUAACUGUAAAUUCCCCUACACAGUCACUUAUGAAGAGAAGAUGAUGGGUGGAAAAAAAAAAAGUGGUCAAAGCAAACCUGACUUCCUGUGCUUGACAUGUUUGAACUUUUCCUCUCUUUGCUCUUUACUAGAGUUCAUCACUGUCUGGAGGGACCCAGGUUUCAUAUUCAAAUGUUUAUUUACAACUACAAUAUGAUGAUUAUGCAGCUUUAUCUCUAUCUACUCAUAUUGUGUCAAGCUGCAGAGACUUUAACAGAUCAGCUAACAGAUUUGGGGCAAAAUGUGACCAUAAACUGUGAUCUUGAUGAAAAUGAGGUUUGUUGGUUUUUACUGAAACUUCCAGAUUCUUCGGCUGUGAUAUUGCGCACUUUCUCAAACCCAACUCCUUUUUACUACAAUGAAAGAUUCAGACACAAAUAUUUAGUGGAAUCUAAACAUAAUUUGUUCAUAAAUAAUGUCACUACUGAUGAGUUAGGAGUUUAUUACUGUAUGAGCACAGACACAAAUCCAAAAUUCAGCAAUGGCAUCAGACUACACAUCAUUGAACCAACACCACAAACUGAGUACCAGAAUCAUACAGUCGUGCAGUUUAUUCAGCAGAAUCAGACGGUGGUCAAGUACAUCCAGCAGAAUCAGACGUCAUGGCAGACUCUUACCCUCAUAUCUGCUCUGUUCAAUGCUGUUUUGGUCGUUGUGGUCAUAGGACUUUUGAAGGUUUGUGCUGUUAGAAGGUCUGCAGAACAACAACGUCAUAAUACCAAUGCACUGCCGACGCAAGAUAUACAACAGCAUUUAUAUUCAAAUCAAUUACAGCGUGCUGAGGUGGACACUUCCAUGCUGUGUACAAAUAUUCAUCGCGGUCCAGUCAAUAGCAACUACGUUACAUUACAGCUGCCAAAAUAAUAAACACAAGCGUACAGCUGACCUUAUACUUCAUAGCCAUAGAUAAAGCACAAACAAAUAACUGAGACUCUGUAGUUGUCCAAGUGCACAUGAUGAUGGAUGUGCACUGUGGUUUGGUUUACUUAAGAAAAAGUGCUGCAUCUAGACAGGGUCUGCACUUUAACCCAGUGAGGAGUUUUUCUCUUUGUCUUCAGUGUUCUCAACAUUUUCUUAAGUGUGUGAUAUAGAUAUUUCACAGCAAUUUAAGGUCAUAAAUCUUUCAGCUAAUGCUAAUGUGUCAUGUUUAACCAUGUUUCUUAUUGAAUUAAAGUGUCUUAAAAUCCCUUCAUUUUUGUAGUUAUCUUCACACUUCUGCAAAAUGCUUAAAAAAGAGGUGUGAUCAUUUGCAGGAAGGAGCAUGCAGAGGUGGGGACAGCCACAAAACACAUGAAGCACAAAUACAACACAAACUACUUGUUUUAAAACUUAAAUGGUUCAUGGCAAUUGGAUUCCUCAAAUGGUUUGAGUUACCGUACCUUAUCGGGUUUAACAGUCUGUCUAUCUAUCUAUCUAUCUAUCUAUCUAUCUAUCUAUCUAUCAUUGUUCUUUCAGCAUGCUGAGGUGGACCCUUCCAUGCUGUGUAGAAAUAUUCAUCAUGGUCCAGUCAAUAGCAACUACGUUACAUUACAGCUGCCAAAAUAACAAAUACAAGCAUAUAGCUGACCUCAUGCUCAUUAUAAUUUAAUCAGAGUUUAAAUAACAGAUUAUUUUCAUCCUACUAAGAGAAACAAUGUGAAAAGCUAAACAUUUUUUUUAUUUGUUUGUUAUUAUUCUAUUGUUGAAGGCCAAAAGUUGAAUUGAAAGGAAGUAUUACUUUAUCUAUUAAAGUUCAAUAACAUAGUUGCAUGGUUGUGAACGCAUUUGUCAAGUAUUUAGCCCCUCAUUUUUUAUAUUUAACUCAUUGGGUCUUCCCCUACACAGUCACUUAUGAAAUGAAGAUGAUUGGUGAAAAAAAGUGGUCAGAGCAAACCUGACUUCCUGUGCUUAAUGUGGUUGAACUUUUCCUCUCUUUGCUCUUUACUAGAGUUCAUCACUGUCUGGAGGGACCCAGGUUUCAUAUUCAAAUGUUUAUUUACAACUACAAUAUGAUGAUUAUGCAGCUUUAUCUCUAUUUACUCAUAUGGUGUCAAGCUGCAGAGACUUUAACAGAUUAACUAACAGAUUUGGGGCAAAAUGUGACCAUAAACUGUGACCUUGAUGAAAAUGUAGUUUAUUGGUUUUUACUGAAAUCUCCAGAUUUUUCGGCUGUGAUAUUGCGCUCUCACAAACCCAAUUCCUUUUUACUACAACAAAAGAUUCAGACACAAAUAUUUAGUGGAAUCUAAACAAUCUAUUCAUUUAAAAAAAAAAAAAAAAAUCACUACUGAUGAGCACAGACACAGAUCCAAAAUUCAUCAAUGGCAUCAGACUACACAUCAUUGAACCAACGCCACAAACUGAGUGCCAAAAUCAAACAGUCGUGCAGUUUAUUCAGCAGAAUCAGACGGUGGUGAAGUACAUCCAGCAGAAUCAGACGUCAUGGCAGACUCUUACCCUCAUAUCUGCUCUGUUCAAUGCUGUUUUGGUCGUUGUGGUCAUAGGACUUUUGAAGGUUUGUGCUGUUAGAAGGUCUGCAGAACAGCAACUUCAUAAUACUGAUGCACAGCCGACACAAGAUAUACAACAGCAUCUAGAUUCAAAUCAAUUACAGCAUGCUGAGGUGAAAACUUCUGUGCUGUAUACAAAUAUUAAUCCUGGUCCAGGUCAAUAGCAACUUACAGCUGCCAAAAUAACAAACAAAUAACAUAUUGUGGUUUUGCAGAAGCUGUCGUCCGACUGGUCACAUGCAUCCUGGUGGGUGUGGCUACUGUUGCUGUUUUGGUUCAGACACCAUGCAGAGCCAGAGGCCUGUUCCACAAAAGUUUACCAAAUAAGCCAGGCUUAUUUCAGUUAGUCUGACUCAUUGUCAUUUGAUUUGGUUCCAUAAAGCAAAUUUAACAUACCUCAAGCUCAGUCACUCUGGCAAUUUAUGUUAGUAGGAUUUUUACAUCAAAAAUUGUCAUAAUUUAGAAAUAAAAGGCCAUUUCUACCCUUAUUUUCAGCCCUCUGAUUAGAGCGCUCUGUUGGAAGGACCGUGUCUGCAGUGAGACUUCAAUGUAAAUGCCCAGUCAUCAUGGGUCAAAUAUUCCAUUGCUUUAUAUUCAGCAAGAGUUUUGAUAUUAAAACUUUAAAAUCACUUUGUGUAACUUUAUCUUAAAAACACUUUGUGUUACUUUUAAGGAGGUAUAUAAUACUGGAAAGAGCUAUCUGUUAGCAUUCUCUUUCAUAUUUGUCCACAUAAUGGUGUAGUAAGGAUAUCAACCAGCAGAGGCUGCCAAAGCUAAAAAGCCAAACCCUUAUAAAGUAAUUUAUGCACGGUACGGUGGCUCAGUGGGUAGCACUGUCGCCUCACCCGGUUCUCCGGGUCCAAAGAUAUACAGGUUAGGUGGGUUGGACAUGCCAAAUUGGCCGUAGUAGGUGUGAGCUUGUGAGUCCCAAGCCAUGUAAUGGGGAGGGUUGGGGAAAGAGUCAGAUACAACUGAAAUGGUAAUAUACAUAGAAAUUAUGUUGAGGCUGCAAGACAAAGUAAUGUGACACUUAGUAAUGUGAUUAUUAUGUCACAUGAGGUGUGAAAUAUGCUCUUCAGGUUUGACUUGUGUGGCUUAUCUUCUUGUCUAUGCUUCAAUUUAAGAUGUUAAAUUGUCAAGGCAACAACAUGAAACUUGUUGCAUGGAUUGAUUAUAAUAUAAUGUGCUUUGUAAACAUUAAUAAAUACUAUUAUGUUUUAGCAGCA